GUCUCAGUAGCUCAGCAGGAUAGAGCACGGGCCUCCUAAGCUCGGGGUCGCACGUUCGAAUCGUGUCUGGGACG
rnacentral:tRNA from 1 species